rnacentral:scRNA from 1 species
AUGAGGGCUGAAAACCCGGCAAUCGAACCCUG